CGUAGGUGAACCUGCGGAAGGAUCAUUAACGAAUAACUAUGGUGUCUUGGUUGUAGCUGGCUCCUCGGAGCAAUGUGCACGCCCACCAUUUUUAUCUUUCCACCUGUGCACCGACUGUAGGUCUGGAUACCUCUCGCCCUUUCACGGGGGCGGAUGCGAGGGUUGCUCGUAAGGGCUCCCCUCGAACUUCCAGGCUCUACGUCUUUUUACACACCCCAAUAGUAUGAUGCAGAAUGUAGUCAAUGGGCUUCUCAGCCUAUAAAACACUAUACAACUUUCAGCAACGGAUCUCUUGGCUCUCGCAUCGAUGAAGAACGCAGCGAAAUGCGAUAAGUAAUGUGAAUUGCAGAAUUCAGUGAAUCAUCGAAUCUUUGAACGCACCUUGCGCUCCUUGGUAUUCCGAGGAGCAUGCCUGUUUGAGUGUCAUUAAAUUCUCAACCUCACCAGUUUUCUCUGGGCGAGGCUUGGAUGUGGGGGUCUGUGCAGGCUGCCUUCACGGCGGUCUGCUCCCCUGAAAUGCAUUAGCGAGGUUCAUGCUGAACUUCCGUCUAUUGGUGUGAUAAUUAUCUACGCCGUGGACGAGGAUCAGACUCGCUUCUAACCGUCCGCGAGGACAACACAUUGACAAUUUGACCUCAAAUCAGGUAGGACUACCCGCUGAACUUAAGCAUAUCAAUAAGCGGAGGAAAAGAAACUAACAAGGAUUCCCC
rnacentral:rRNA from 1 species